AAUUAUUAAUUUUAUUUUAAAAUGGUAGAAUAGUGAGAAUAUGUAAGUUAAGAAGAAGAAUACAUAAAGUACAAGAAAGUCGCGAAAAGGACUCGUUCUAAUCAAAUGACUAAGUUGUUUUACAUACUAUAUAAAGACAAAACCGCAUCUUUUAAGUAUUGAAUUGUCAAGACAAUAUACAUUAAAAAUACAAAUAAAUAUAAUAUAACAUAAAAGUAUUAUUUAGAAUUGCUAAAAUAUGUGAUUGCAUAAAGUCACAUCAAGAGUAAUAAAUCGAAGAUAGGUGCAACGAGAUAAAUAAAAUUUAACUAGGAGUUUAUGACAGGAUAAUGAAGAAAGAAUUUAAAAAAUUGAUCAAUGCAAGUUAUUUACCCGGAGGUAAAAAUGUUUAGCUUCUGAUGCUAACAUAUGGAUGACAUUAGAGAUACAAGUGAUUUCUUUACACUUUGUGUGAAAACGUUUAGAGUUUAGUAGUCUAUAGUCUAUUAGAAUCUAUUGAUUCGGAGUUGAGAGGUGUUAUUUCUGAUUCAAAACUUUGUACUGCUCUUAUUAGCAUUAAUUCUUAAAAACAAUAGUUGGGUGUUGUGUAGUGGAACUAGUGACAAGUCAUCGGGUGUACGAAGUAUGAGUGAUAUCAAUAGUUUUGAAGCAAUGGUUAGGAUUCGAUGUAUUGGAACUGGUGCUAAAUCACUAAGUGGAUGGAGUAGACUUGACAGUCGUUAUGAUAGACGACGUUGGCCGCCUACCAAUUACCAAUUGUAUAAGAAUAUUGAAAUUUACAUAAACAUUUUAGUGUUUUGUAACAAUAUAGGAUAUAUAUAGCACUUAAUAAUAAAUAAAUAUUCAAAUCA